UACGUAGGGUGCGAGCGUUGUCCGGAAUUAUUGGGCGUAAAGGGCUCGUAGGCGGUCUGUUGCGUCGGGAGUGAAAACUCAGGGCUUAACCCUGAGCCUGCUUCCGAUACGGGCAGACUAGAGGUAUGCAGGGGAGAACGGAAUUCCUGGUGUAGCGGUGAAAUGCGCAGAUAUCAGGAGGAACACCGGUGGCGAAGGCGGUUCUCUGGGCAUGUCCUGACGCUGAGGAGCGAAAGUGUGGGAGGCGAACGGG
rnacentral:rRNA from 1 species